GCAUAGAUAAUCUACCUUUUUGACCGGCACAACUCCGCGAAAGCGGGGCUAAUUCCGGAUGUGAUCACGAAGACGUAAAGUUUUUGUGAAGAAAGAUGGCCUCUAUUUAUAAGCUAUCGCGAGAAGAUGAGUCUGUGUCCCAUCAGCUAGUUGGUAGGGUAAUGGCCUACCAAGGCUUUGACGGGUAGCUGAUCUGAGAGGAUGAUCAGCCACACUGGAACUGAAACACGGUCCAGACUCCUACGGGAGGCAGCAGUGGGGAAUAUUGGACAAUGGGGGAAACCCUGAUCCAGCAACGCCGCGUGAGGGAAGAAGGCCUUCGGGUUGUAAACCUCUGUCGAAGGGGACGAAACCUAUCAUGGCUAAUAUCCAUGGUAAUUGACGGUACCCUUAGAGGAAGCACCGGCUAACUCCGUGCCAGCAGCCGCGGUAAUACGGAGGGUGCAAGCGUUGUUCGGAAUUACUGGGCGUAAAGCGUGUCUAGGUGGAUUUGUAAGUCAGGCGUGAAAUCCCCCGGCUCAACCGGGGAGGGUCGCUUGAUACUGCAUGUCUUGAGUUUCGGAGAGGUGGGCAGAAUUCCCAGUGUAGAGGUGAAAUUCGUAGAGAUUGGGAGGAAUACCGGAGACGAAGGUGGCUCACUAGCCGAAUACUGACACUCAAGCACGAAAGCGUGGGUAGCAAACAGGAUUAGAUACCCUGGUAGUC
rnacentral:rRNA from 1 species